AUUGAACGCUGGCGGCAUGCCUAACACAUGCAAGUCGAACGGGGGUAGCAAUACCCUAGUGGCGGACGGGUGAGGAAUACGUAGGAAUUUGCCCUUAAGUGGGGGAUAACCCGGGGAAAUCCGGACUAAUACCGCAUGAUCUCGUGAGAGCAAAGCAGGGGACCGCAAGGCCUUGCGCUUUUGGAGAAGCCUACGUCGGAUUAGCUAGUUGGUGGGGUAAUGGCCCACCAAGGCUACGAUCCGUAACUGGUCUGAGAGGAUGAUCAGUCACACCGGAGCUGAGACACGGUCCGGACUCCUACGGGAGGCAGCAGUGGGGAAUAUUGGACAAUGGGCGAAAGUCUGAUCCAGCAAUGCAGCGUGUGUGAAGAAGGCCUUCGGGUUGUAAAGCACUUUAGGCUGGAAAGAAAAAGCUUUGGCUAAUAUCCAAAGCCUUGACGGUACCAGCAGAAUAAGCACCGGCUAACUCUGUGCCAGCCGCCGCCGUAAUAC
rnacentral:rRNA from 1 species